rnacentral:rRNA from 1 species
AAUCAACGCUGGCGGCGUGCCUCAGACAUGCAAGUCGAACGCUGCUGUUCGCCUUCGGGUGGACAGCGGAGUGGCGCACGGGUGAGUAACACGUAGGUAAUCUACCUUUGGGUGGGAAUAACAGCCGGAAACGGCUGCUAAUACCGCAUAAUGCAGCGGCAUCACAUGAUGACAGUUGUUAAAGCGAGGGAUCGUAGGACCUCGCGCCUGAAGAGGAGCCUGCGGCAGAUUAGGUAGUUGGUGAGGUAAUGGCUCACCAAGCCUGCGAUCUGUAACCGGCCUGAGAGGGCGGUCGGUCACACUGACACUGACAUACGGGUCAGACUCCUACGGGAGGCAGCAGUCGGGAAUCUUGGGCAAUGGGCGCAAGCCU